ACUCAUCAAGUAUAAACAAGGAAGCAUGAACAUCUGCCAUUCUGUUUUCUAAAAAUCUGUUAUGAUUUCAGAAUUUGAAGACUCUGAGUUCCUCUUGUUAGAGGAGGAAGCUGAUCUUCUAUCCAAAAGGGAAGAAUACCAACGCGAGCUCAAUGACAGGACAACAAAGCUACAUACACAUAAGUUGCGUGUUGCUCAGCUAGGACUGCAACAAAAGCAGGUUUUAAGCAAUGCGGCUGAUGAAUCUAAACAGUUGGAAUCCUUGCUCAUUGCCUAUUUGAACAAUAUCAAAGAGACCCGCAACAGAAUACGAGAGUUGGAUAUAAAACUCGGUGACGUUAACCAUUGUGAAACUCCAAGUAAAUCCAUUUUAAAGCAGUCCCCAGAAUCUUCUGAAUCUGAUGAUGAUUUAGAUAAGCAGUUGAAGCAACAGUCAAUGGAUGAUCUAAACCGGAUCUCAAAAAUAACUUUAGGAACUCCGAUUAUGGAAAGUAACCAAUCGAAUUCUCUUGGUCGCCGUACUGUGGCCCUUCUAAGAGAAAUUGAGAAGAAUCGGCAGUUGGUUCUUGCUAAGCAAGGUAGUCAAGUAAUUGAAGAAGAACGUAAACGGGUCCUAGAGCUGAAACAAAGGGUUCAAACUGAGGUGCAUGCACAGUGGGAAGAGAGGAAGCAGCGCGAAAAUAAUUGCAACUCUUUGAACAGCAUUGCAAGUGAAGAAUCUAGUUUAACAUCAAGUGAUAUCCUCACGGAAAGUGUCAUCAAUGAAGAUGGCGAGAAGACUAAUGAUAAGUCAAACAGCAAUAAUUCACCGAAAAUUCUAAAUUCUGCCCCGUGCGAAGAGGUGAGUCCUUUUAUCUCCGGUUUUGAACGUUCGGCUGCAGCUAUAUUUAAUGCACCAAGAGCUGCUAUAACGUAUGUUGCAUUUUUCUAA
rnacentral:lncRNA from 1 species